AGAGUUUGAUUCUGGCUCAGGAUGAACGCUGGCGGCGUGCUUAACACAUGCAAGUCGAACGGGAAUUACUUUAUUGAAUCUUCGGUCGAUUUAGUUUACUUCUAGAGGCGGAAGGGUGAGUAACGCGUGGGUAACCUGCCUUAUACAGGGGGAUAACAGUCAGAAAUGGCUGCUAAUACCGCAUAAGCGCACAGAGCUGCAUGGCUCGGUGUGAAAAACUCCGGUGGUAUAAGACGGACCCGCGUUGGAUUAGCUUGGUGGUGGGGCAACGGCCCACCAAGGCAACGAUCCAUAGCCGGCCUGAGAGGGUGAACGGCCACAUUGGGACUGACACACGGCCCACACUCCUACGGGAGGCAGCAGUAGGGAAUAUGGCACAACGGGGGAAACCCUGAUGCAGCGACGCCGCGUGAAGGAAGAAGUAUCCCGGUAUGUAAACUUCUAUCAGCAGGGAAGAUAGUGACGGUACCUGCAUAAGAAGCCCCGUCUAUCUACGUGCCAGCAGCCGCGGUAAUACGUAGGGGGCAAGCGUUAUCCUGGAUUUACUGGGUGUAAAGGGAGCGUAGAUGGUGUGGCAAGUCUGAUGUGAAAGGCAUGGGCUCAUCCUCUGGACUGCAUCGGAAACUGUCAUCCUUGAGUGCCGCAGGGGUAAGCGGAAUUCCUAGUGUAGCGGUGAAAUGCGUAGAUAUUAGGAGGAACACCAGUGGCGAAGGCGGCUUAUCUGGACGGUAACUGACGUCGAGGCUCGAAAGCGUGGGGAGCAUC
rnacentral:rRNA from 1 species